GACGAACGCUGGCGGCGUGCUUAACACAUGCAAGUCGAACGGAAAGGCCCUGCUUUUGUGGGGUGCUCGAGUGGCGAACGGGUGAGUAACACGUGAGUAACCUGCCCUUGACUUUGGGAUAACUUCAGGAAACUGGGGCUAAUACCGGAUAGGAGCUCCUGCUGCAUGGUGGGGGUUGGAAAAUUUCGGCGGUUGGGGAUGGACUCGCGGCUUAUCAGCUUGUUGGUGGGGUAGUGGCUUACCAAGGCUUUGACGGGUAGCCGGCCUGAGAGGGUGACCGGCCACAUUGGGACUGAGAUACGGCCCAGACUCCUACGGGAGGCAGCAGUGGGGAAUAUGGCACAAUGGGCGGAAGCCUGAUGCAGCAACGCCGCGUGCGGGAUGACGGCCUUCGGGUUGUAAACCGCUUUCGCCUGUGACGAAGCGUGAGUGACGGUAAUGGGUAAAGAAGCACCGGCUAACUACGUG
rnacentral:rRNA from 1 species